UCCCUGAUAGCUCAGUUGCUAAAGAAUCUACCUGCAAUGCAGGAGACCCUGGUGUGAUUCCUGGUUUGGGAA
rnacentral:tRNA from 1 species